CUUUUAAUAGUAUAAUCAUACAUUAUUUUUUCAUAAUAAAGAUAUUUAAUUUUUUUUAAAUUUAAAAGC
rnacentral:tRNA from 1 species